UAGGGAAUUUUCGGCAAUGGGGGAAACCCUGACCGAGCAACGCCGCGUGAGGGAGGAAGUACUUCGGUAUGUAAACCUCUGUUAUAAAGGAAGAACAGCAUAUGUAGGGAAUGACAUAUGAAUGACGGUACUUUAUGAGGAAGCCACGGCUAACUACGUGCCAGCAGCCGCGGUAAUACGUAGGUGGCGAGCGUUAUCCGGAAUCAUUGGGCGUAAAGAGGGAGCAGGCGGCAGUCAGGGUCUGCGGUGAAAGCCCGAAGCUAAACUUCGGUAAGCCGUGGAAACCGGACAGCUAGAGAGCAU
rnacentral:rRNA from 1 species